AAGAAGGCAACAGCUGAGCAACGUGAGAUCAAGAGCCAUAUUAAUUUAAACAGGGGCUGAAAGUGGCAUUUGAGAGAGAAGAUACUUCCUCUCGUAGUGGACACUUGUCUUUUCAGAAGAUUUAUACGACUGAGAGUCAAAACUUUUACCAGAGACUUUCAUAGUCAGUUUGAAUUCUGCAAAAUUUCUCUUUAUCUUCUGGAAUGUAUGCUCUAGACUUGGAGUGGCUCAAGCUCUUCGAUGUGAUCCUAUCAAUGUCAAGAGAAAGAAGCACUGAAGAGUCAUAAUUGUGUCCUGAUUUAUAAAUCGGAGACAGAGGGAGACGAAAACCACACUCCAGAAAGUAGCUUAAUCGGACUCACUACUAAGAUGUUAAAAGUGAAGAGGCUGGAAGAAUUCAACACGUGUUAUAACAGCAACCAGCUGGAGAAAAUGGCCUUUUUUCAGUGCAGGGAAGAGGUGGAGAAAGUGAAGUGUUUUCUGGAAAAAAAUUCUGGGGACCAGGAUUCAAGAUCUGGACAUAAUGAGCUUUCAUGCAGCUGUUGAGAAGUCCAAACAAGUUCAGAAUCCUGAUCUUUUGUGUGUGGCCUAUAUUUUCUCUCUCUAGCAACUUGGGAAACCUUCUAUUUGUCCUUGUAUUGGGAAAAGUUUCUGCCAGAACCAAGAACCACUGUCCAUGGAAUCUUGCUGUGUCUCCAGGCUGGAGUGUAGUGGCGCGAUCUCGGCUCACUGCAACCUCUGCCUCCCGGGUUCAAGCAAUUCUCCUGCCUCAGCCUCCCGAGUAGCUGGGACUACAGGUGCCAGCCAUCACGCCCGGCUAAUUUUUUGUAUUUUUAGUAGAGAUGGGGUUUCACCAUGUUGGCCAGGAUGGUCUCGAUCUCCUGACCUCGUGAUCUACCCGCCUCAGCCUCCCAAAGUGCUGGGAUUAUAGGCGUGAGCCACCGCGCCCAGCCUAGUCUCUGCUUUUUUAAAAAAAAUGUUAGGACAGUGGUCCCUAAACUUGUCUGUGUAUUAGAAUCACCUGGGAAAUCUUUAAAAAUUCUAAGGACCAGGUAAAUUAAAUUAUAAUCUCUGGGAAUAGGACUGAUUUUUGUAUUUUUAGUAGAGACGGGGUUUUGCCAUGUUCACCAGGCUGGUCUCGAACUCCUGACCUCAGGUGAUCCACCCGCCUCAGCCUCCCAAAGUGUUGGGAUUACAGGUGUGAGCCACCACAUCCAGCCCAGACUAAUUUUUCUGAUGACAAAUGCUGCUUGUUGAUGUGAAUUCUGAUAUGGCACACACUUGAGCCUCACUUUGUUAGCUAUUAAUUUGUGUUACUGAAUUUACAGGCCUGGAAUACAAUUUGUGCUUCUUUUUAAAUAAAUUUCAUACUUUUUUUUUAAUGGACUUGUAAUCUACCUGAACUUGAAUUUGUUGAGGGUUUACGCUAAUGAAAAUAACAGAAAGACAAACUGUGAGAUAUAUCAUGCCAUUUAUAAUUAAUAAAUCACCAAACAGAGGCACAAACUUCAAGGGCUAUAAAAUGCCACACAUUUUCACAGACAGUUAAUAGUAAAUUAUUUGGCACAGACCCUUCUGUAGCUGGGUAGGAAGUUACUGUAUUUAGUUGCUUUCAAACUCGUAAUUUUACCUGUGGAAGGGUGGCCCUCUUUUGACUCUUUCAAGAACUAUUAUAAAACAUGAGAUGUUUGUGUGCAUGUGUUGGGGGGAUUAUGCCUUACCCUUCCAGUUUACAGAAAUGCUGCUG
rnacentral:lncRNA from 1 species